rnacentral:lncRNA from 1 species
AUUCAUGGUUGGUUAUCUGACGUUUUAUAUAAUUUGAAAUAGAACAAAAGAAGGUGCUAAAUUUGGGUCCCUGCCGUAUUAAAGGACUAAUUUUUGCUUAUGAUCGGCUGAUAAGUGAUACCAGACAUAUUUGAAAGAUAUCCAUGAAGAUGUUAUUUUUCUCUGUGUCAUCCUAAUUCUUAACUAAUCUGUAAGCUUUGUCUAACUUUUUACGUUUUUUCUUCUGAAAUUUAUUCAGGAAGUGGUAAAACUUUUACCAUGAAACCACUACCCCUCAAGGCUUCUAGGGAUAUUUUGAGGCUUAUGCAUCACACUUACAGGAAUCAAGGGUUUCAAUUGUUUGUAAGCUUCUUUGAGAUAUACGGAGGGAAAUUAUACGACUUACUCAGUGAUAGGAAGUAAGAUGCCCCACUAGGUUCUCACUUAAAUCAUUCAGCCAUUACUAGUCACCAUAUGGAUUUUCAAGACCUUUCAUAUUUUCUUUUUGUAGAAAGCUUUGCAUGAGAGAGGAUGGCAAGCAACAAGUUUGUAUUGUAGGCUUGCAAGAGCACAAAGUAUCAGAUGUGGAGACAAUUAAGGACCUUAUCGAGAAAGGAAAUGCAACAAGAAGUACAGGCACCACUGGAGCUAAUGAGGAAUCAUCCCGUUCACAUGCCAUUCUUCAGCUUACCAUUAAGAGGUCAGCUGAUGGCAAUGAAUCCAAACCUGCUCGAGUUGUUGGCAAGCUAUCUUUUAUAGACCUUGCUGGAAGUGAACGUGGUGCAGAUACUACUGAUAAUGAUAAGCAAACAAGGUAUAUAUAACUUCAUCAUCUUCUUCUUCCUUAGUAUUCUCUGGGAAAACAUUCAAUUUGGACAUCUGAUCUUAAAACAGAAAUCUAACAAAUGCAGAGAUGUAUUUAUCAUGUUGUGUUUGAGGGUGCAUAACAUUUGCACUUUAUAUGCUAAUAAUUAUUAUUACCCAAGUAUUGUCUGUUGUUUGAGAAAAAAAACUAUACUUAUAGUGUCCAUUGGUCUCUCAUGUUAUUUGAUAUGAUACCAACAAUUUGCAUUUUUUAAAUAAGUUCUCAGUUAGCGUUUUCUGAAUAUGCAGAAUGGAAGGAGCUGAGAUUAAUAAAAGUUUGCUUGCCUUGAAGGAAUGCAUUAGAGCUCUUGAUAAUGAUCAAGGGCACAUUCCAUUUAGAGGCAGUAAAUUAACUGAAGUCUUAAGGGAUUCAUUUGUUGGAAAUUCUCGUACUGUGAUGAUUUCAUGUGUUUCACCCAAUGCCGGAUCCUGUGAACAUACAUUAAACACAUUAAGAUACGCGGACAGGCAAGUCUCAUUUUUUAAUGAUAUAAAUCUUCUGUUGGGCAAAUGGCACCUUCUCUGUAAGGUCUUAUCUUCUUUCUUUUUAAUUAUAGGGUGAAGAGCCUUUCAAAGGGGAACAACAACAAAAAAGAUGUUUUCUCAUCAACCUCAAAUCUGAAGGAAUCAACACCACAGCCUCUGUCAUCAGUUUUACCGCCUGCAUCAACAUUUGAAGAUGACGCUGGUGAUUCGUGGCCUGAACAAACUGAUAGGGAAGAAUAUGACGAAGAGUUAUACGAGACAGAGAAGCCAGUAUGGACAAAAAACUCAAAAGUUGAAUCAUACAGUUUUUCUAAGAUGGACGAUAAAAUGAGAGCCAAUGGCCAGUCAAAGUGGAAGGAACCCCUUAAGUCGGAUGUGAAAUACUCGAAUUCUGACGAAGACUUGAACUCUCUUUUGAAAGUAAGACUACUAGAAAUUGCUUUUUAACAACAGAUCGAGUCCAGUCCAGGCGCUGACUUCUGUGACUCUUUGAUUCUUUAGGAAGAGGAAGAUCUCGUAAAUGCCCAUAGAAGACAAGUGGAGGAGACAAUGGAUAUUGUUCGAGAGGUUAGUGAUAAUCUUAUAGCAGCCCUAACAUGUCCUUUUUUUUUUUUUCGUCGGUGAUGGAAUAGAAGAAUAUUAGUUGGAUCAAAACCAAUUUAUUACUUUCACAUUACUCAUACACUGUUCCGGCCUUGAAUCUAGACACCGUCUUCGGUUGUUAGCAUUGGCAGCUUUACGAUACUAUUGAGUGUUCUCUUUUGUAUUUUGAUGCUUUCUAUACGAGGUCUCAAGUAUAUUCGGUGUUGAUUUAGAUGGAUCACGUCUUUCAUAUGAUUAUGAUGCAAAUUACCAGCAUUCAUGGUAGAGAGUUUACCUGAAUUAUAGCCAUCUCAUUUUCUGUUAAUUGAUUUGAAAGUUAAUUCAUUUUAUAAACGUAGAUUGGUGUAUCUCAUUUUAUUUUACAAGUUGUAUUCUUAAGUCUAUGCACCUUCAUCAAAUUUUACUUUACCAUUUGCAGGAGAUGAAUCUAUUGGUUGAGGCAGAUCAACCAGGGAAUCAGCUAGAUGAUUAUGUCACUAGAUUGAAUUCAAUCUUGUCCCAAAAGGCUGCCGGUAUUUUACAGUUACAGAAUCGCUUGGCUCAUUUCCAAAGACGAUUAAAAGAGCACAACGUCAUAGUAUCUUCUGGUAAUUAAGUGUCAUACGACAAUGCACAUAGAAUUCGGUGUGAUGCAUAUUGCUUGGGAUAGUAGCUUACAAUAUCAUUAUUAUUUAACAAAAUCAUACGGCAGAUGCCAUUUGCUUUGCAGCUAAGUAAUUCUUAGUAUCAUUCUUAGCUUACAAUAUGAAUGUUUCUCUGCUUGUUUAUGAUUGAUAGUAAAUUAUUUUCAUCUGCUGAUCACGUUGACUUUGGAAGGCUACUAAGGAUUGAGUGAAUAAUGGAAAACAUACGCAAGGCCUCGAUCGUGGCCUUCCCAUUUUUCUUGGAGAAGCUUGUC